UUCUUUUUGGUCCAUAUAUUAGUUUAAUGCACUAGGAUGCUUCGACCGAUAGAUAUUAGACUCAAACCCAGUUUCUGUGUAAAAAGGCUCAAAUAUGGUUCCUUUUUUUAGUUUUCAAAUUUAAGAGAACAUAUCUUACACACCAAGAUAUCUGGUACAAAAUCAGGAUAUUUUUUAAAGAAUGCACGAUUCCCAAAAAUAUCACAUUUUUGAUAACCGCCACCUUUUUCCCUGAUUUUUUGGGAUUUCCCAUAACAUGUCCGCCUUCUUCCCUUUCGGUGGAAUACACGCUCUGAGAUUGGCCUCAUCCUUUGGAUCGAGCUUGCCUUGUAGCCUCAAUCAUUUGAGAUUAGGUAUUAUUUAUCUCAUUAUUUCUUGCUUGCUUGGCCCUCACCCUUUUGUUUUCUUGUUAGAUGCCGCAGAAUUCGGGAAAGUGGUGGGGGUCAAAGCUCGCUAUUCCUUACUCACCGGUAGCUUCAAGCCCGGAAUCUCCUUUUACUCGGAACCAACGCUUAAUUCGGGAGCACAAACUGAGGUGUGAGCAAGAGGAUACUCGAGACCACUUCCGACGUUAGAUAGACGAGGUCGAAGAAAGGAAAAGGAAAAGACUAAGGAUCACCCUUUAUCCAGAUCCAGCCUCUCGACUCUAUGCUCAAAGUAACAAUUGCCUUCAAGCCGGGUGAUCUUCAAUUCUCGCUGAUGGGGGAACCUUCUACCUCGCAGCCGAGGAGAGAAUUCUUCGAGGUCGAGCAUUAUUGGAGCUCGGUUACAUCGCUUGUUAUAUUAUUUCAUAUAAUAUAAUAUUAGAUUAAAUAAUGUGACAAAAUGUGAUUUAUCACACAAAUGUGAUUUGUCACACCUUGUAACAUAUUAUUGAGAGUCACAAAAUUGGACACAUGUGUAUGCCUAAAUGUGGGCAUAUUUUGGAGUUACAAAAUCAGUUACAAAUUUGUAACUCCCAAAUAUUACCCAAGAAUGUGUAUAUUAUAUGUUACACAUUUGAGAUUGGAUUUCAUAAAGCCAGAUGAGGAAUGGCUGAUAGAGAUGUGAUUUUAACUUCCAUAUUGUGUAUGGAAGUUACAAAAUCAAGUGGGAAUAAAUUAGAACGUUUUGAAAAAAAACUAAAAAAUUGGUUGCUGAAAAUGACCAAGGGCUGCGGCGCUUGAACAAGCGCCGCGGCCCUAGUGGCUGACAGCUUCAUACAAAUUCAGUUUUUAUCCAAUUUUGAACGUUUCCAACAGCCAAGUAACUCUCAAAUCUUUAUUUUAAUUCUAUAAAACAUCCAAUUAAUCAUUGGUAACAGCCAUGGGGUUGGUGGAAUUUGAAAUUCAAACGGUGUCUCAAAACUCUAUAAAUAGGAGCCUAAUGCUCACUUGUAAGACACACCAUUUUUCAUCCACAAAGCACUUGGCUGAAAAAUACAUCUUAAGGCUUGAUUAUUCUAGAGAGUUAUUUCCUUUAGAGAUCCCUUAGUGCUUAGAGAAUAGGGGGAAAUAAGCUUUUGGAGAAAGGUUUUUGAACCUUGUUCAAGUUGGUAAUCCUCAUUACUCUACACUUUGGUUGAGUGUGAGUUUGUGUUUUUCAUUGAUCUUUUCAUUCAGUUGUUCUUCUUGUAUUAUUAUUGUUUUGAGUUUCUAAUCCUCUUCUUCUAUUUCUAUUUACAUAUUUAUUGGUAUCUCUUGUUUUAGAGUUUUGUUCUAAUAAUUCUCUUCUUUCUCUCUUUUCUGCAUUUACUUGUAUUGUUGGUCAUUGAGUUGUAAACCUAUUUAUCUAUCAUCUUGUCCAUGGUAUUCUUUGCAUAGAGUUGUAUUUUUGGUUUUUUCCACUUUUCAUUGAGCAAUAAAAUAUAUUCUCUUACAUCGCUAGGUCAGAUAAUUGAUAUUCUGGCCUUUCACGGCAUAGGACUAUCGAGCUCACUGAGGUGUUAAGCUCCGACCUCCCAUGAGCGGAGUUGCCACGCUCCGAGAGAUGGAAAUCCUGACAGCAAGCUGAGAUAUGCAGCUUGGAGCCAGGAACAUAUGAAGGCAGGGGCAGUACUGCCCUUGAAGUCUUUUUUCAAAGACUUCACGGACUUCGUUGGGCUGACUCCCUUCCAACUCAACACCAAUUCUUACAGGGUUCUGUCUGCCCUGAGGUCGCUUUACCACGAGCUGAAGUAGAAAUGACCUUCGCCUAAAGAGAUCUUAUAUCUCUUUUGCUUGAAAAGCAAUCCCUCCCGAGCUCGGGGAGGAGAUGGCUUCUACUAUCUCUCAAGCUAUCCCAAGGAGAAGAAGAUGUUUGAAGAUCUUCCCAACCAUCCUCCUGAUUUCAAGAAGGCCUUCUUCUCGACAGAUGGCCUAGCCCCAUCUAGAUUCUACUCAUUUAGACGGAUUCGUAAGUAUCUCAACUUCCCUCUUUUUUGUGCUCGAACUUUGUUUAGGCUUGUGCUUAGCUGAAAUGUGUUUGAUCUUCCAGCCAAUUACCAUCGCCCUACUCCCACCAAGGAGAUGAGAGAGCAUAGAGAGACUCUACUCCAACUCCCCUACGGCAGGAGGUCCCUCUCCUAUCUCCUACAUGAAGGCAAGCUCCGGGCAUGUGGUCUCUUGGGGGAGGAUCAGUCUACAUCCGACUGGUCCAAUAAGAAGUACGACCAGUGGGAGCUCGUGCCUCAGCCGACCAGCAACCUUCCCUCAAGGAGAGAUGCGAGGCCUCCAUCUCCAGCUCAACGUCAUAGGAGUCCGCAAUCGGGGAAUGAGGCCAAUGAUGAGGCCUCGAGCUCGGGCUCAGAUGAACAAGGUACAGUCAUCCUUAGCUCGGAUUUGUGGUCUCCCUCACUACUAAAACAUAAACCCGAUAGAUUAAUAUUGUGUGAGGACGAUAGGAACCAUUUCUAUGUAUUGUCUUGGGUAGAUGAGAGGGUACAUAGGUUCGAUAGUUGGUUCGGGAAAUACGACACCAUUAUAGCCUGAACGAGGUAUGGGAUGAAAUAGCCGUCCAAUAUGAGACUAACGACUAUAGGGACCUUUCGAGGUUGACAUCCACCUACAGGGAAGGCACUCCCCCCGCCUCUUCUGAAGAUGGGGGAAUUUCGUGGUCACCGAGCACAAGCUCGGGGGAGAGUUCCAGCGAGAUGGACUCCGACCUUGACAACAUUCUGGUCAGUGGCGGAGCCAAGAGGAGUAAGCACCCGAGGGGGUCGCGAAAAACAGACCGGCCUGCUAAGGUCCUUAAGAGGACCGAGAAAACGCCACCUCCCCUGGCUCCGGUUGUUCCAAGCACAGCUUUGAGUCCACUUGCUUAGGCCAAGACUCCCUCCUCGACCUUGCCUCGUGUUCCUCCUACACCCCAGAUCAAUCCCAUAGUUGGCCCACCUUCGAAGAAACCCUUGUCCUCAAAGACACCGCUACUUUCGAUUUCUACUCAUGUUGAUGAGUAUGUGAUCGACAACGCAGCUGGACCCCACUGGGCUACGCUAGGCUCGGACGUUUUGUCUCGGGUGGGUCAGAGUUUUGGAAGCUUCGACGCUACUCACUGACAGUUUUUGAACAAUGCCCAGGACUGCAACACUCUUUACGAGAAGAGCAUCGAGCUCCAUGCUGCGACUCUUGCUGUCUCUGCUCAGCUUAAUUAUAAGUUGAACAAUGAGGUCCAUUCGAGCAUGUCUCUUGCUCAGGAGGCGAAGGAUCUUCAACUCAAAUUGAGUGACGAGCUCAAGGCAACAAAAGCAAAGGUGGAGGCAGGAGCUGAGGAGCUAAAGGCCAAGACAUCCGAGCUUGAAAAGAUGAAUGCCUGGCUCGCGGAGCUUGAGAAGGAGAAUGCUCGGGUCAAGGAGAUCAAUGCCAAGCUUGAAGAAGAGAAGACCGUCACUUUCGAGAUCAUGGAGGGUGAAAAGGUUCGUCUUCUUGAAGAGUUUAAGGAGAAAAAGGAUCGGGCAGUCGACUUGGCCAUGUACAGAAUCUGGGCCAACAAUGUUGACCUCGACACAAGCUUCUUAGGCCCUCUUGAAGCAAAGCUUGUGGCUAAAUGGCAAGCUCGGCUUGAUGAGGAGGAGACUGCUCGGGAUGAGGCAGAGGAAGCUGGGGAUGAUGCCGAUGCUGAGAAGGCCAAGGAGAAUGCUCCUUCUUCUUAAAUCUUACCUCGGGGCUGCGUCCCUCUGUAUUUCUUGUAAUGAUCUUUUAUGCCCACGGGGCCAAGACAAUUCUAUAGCUCGUAAAAGAGCUGCCUUUUCUUAUGAUAUUUGAGAUACCAUUUUUUGACUUUAUUUUAGUAUAUAUGCUUUACACUUCUUGGGUUGAAAUAUUUUGUGCAAUUUAUAUUAAAGUGUCAUAAAUGCCUGUUUAUUCAUACAAAUAUAGUUUGGAUUUAAGCUCGAGGUUCAAUGCAUUCAUGCACAGUUUGCUCGAAUUAUCCGCUUUCGAUCUCGUUAUUUGUCAAGGUCGGAUAUUACUUUUACCAUGCACCCGAAAGUACUUAUAUGGU